GAUGAACGCUAGCGACAGGCUUAACACAUGCAAGUCGAGGGGCAGCGAGGGCGUAGCAAUACGCCUGUCGGCGACCGGCGCACUGGUGAGUAACACGUAUGCGACCUGCCCCCUACAGGGGUAUAACCCGUAGAAAUGCGGACUAAUCCCCCAUAGUCCCGCGGGCUGCAUGGCCUGCGGGGGAAAGGGUUUCCGGUAGGGGAUGGGCAUGCGGCGCAAAAAAUUGCUAGUUGGCGGGGCAACGGCCCACCAAGGCGACGAUGCGUAGGGGUUCUGAGAGGAAGGUCCCCCACACUGGUACUGAGACACGGACCAGACUCCUACGGGAGGCAGCAGUGAGGAAUAUUGGUCAAUGGGCGAGAGCCUGAACCAGCCAAGUAGCGUGCAGGAUGACGGCCCUAUGGGUUGUAAACUGCUUUUAUACGGGGAUAAAGUGAGCCACGUNUGGCUUAUUGCAGGUACCGUAUGAAUUAAGGACCGGCUAAUUCCGUGCCAGCAGCC
rnacentral:rRNA from 1 species